rnacentral:lncRNA from 1 species
UUAAAUAUUGACACUCAUGUUUAAUCCAAUGGUCAAUCCUUACUCCCCACCACCAUAUAAAAAUCAAAUUAACACCCAAAAGCCCAGGGGACUUUGGGGCAGCAGAAGGGCAGGGAACGGACUACCCUCCUGAAUUUUUCGAUCUUCUUUCUUUCAAUCUCUCAGGGACCAGCAGAGAAUUCACCUGAAUAUAGGGAAUAGAGUGACCAGAGGGAAUGAUAUAGUGAGAACGAGGGUGAGAAGGGAACGGCCAGAAUUUCAAUAAAAGAAAAGGAAAAAUGCUACAGAGAGGCUACGUGAGUUUGAUGACGCACUAAAAGAGACGAACAAAAGUACUGUCCUUCAAAUUUUGGUUUUAAAAAUGGAGGUCACCCGAGGUUGUGUUUGAUUCGAGGUUUCCGGUCCGGGUUUGUGAGCUUGAAGCAACCGUUGAUGUGCACUUGAUUUGGAGCUCUAUUUUGUUUAAUAUAAAAGGAAGAUUCGUCAAAGGUUUAUUCCUUCCCUUUCCUCUGUUUUUUGAUUUAUCUCCCGUGAGUUGUUUGUGUUUGUUUGCAAUCCAUGCUUAAAUUGUCAUUUUGUGAAUGACUUGCACAUUUACGUGUGAAUUGAAUCUUGUGAAUACAUGUUGAUAUGUUAGUAGAAUGGAGACAGUAGGUGCCUGUAGAGGACAUUUCUGAUUAAAUGAACUUGGGCCAUGGGAGUUCGAACAGAAUGUUAGACUUUGGAUUUUUUUUUCCUUUUGUCAUUUUAUUUUAUUUUAUUGAAUCGCUAGGAGUAUGUUAGGCCGAUAACACUUGGGUAGGCAAGUUUUAGGACUUUUUAUUUUAUUUGAGAUUAGAGGUUGUCCCGUAGUUUAUUAUUUUAUCGGGGUAUGCCCCGUAAUGAAUGUUAUUGGAGGCUGUGACGGACAUCGUGGAGUGAGCAUAUCAUAGACUUUAGUAUUUUCCUCUUAUUUUACUUUCUUUUAUUUAGGUGGGGACAACCUCGAGUCUCUUGUGUGCUUAUUUUUCUUUCGUGUGUUUUUUGCCUCAAUUCGAAUAUCCUUUAAAGCCAAUUUGAUCAUGUAUGCUACCGUACUAGUUACGGGACUCGGGGAGUGUCCAACACCUUCUCCCCGAGUCAAAUGAACUUCCUUACUUGGAAUUUCUGGUGCAGCCAAAUUUAGAGUCAAAUGUGUUUUGAAGGAAAAUUGUUAUUUUAAAAAUAGUGACCUGGCACACCGAAAUCAAAUGUGGUGACGACUCUGAAAAAUCCUUUGAAACAUAAUCUUUUGUCACUUUUCAAAUUAAAAACCCCUUUUGAGCUUUAAAAUCACCUUUAUUUAUUUUUAAAGAGGGUUAAUGAGGUUAAAAAGGGGUGUGACGGUAGUGUAAAAAACUCGUAGAAAAAUCAAGUACUUCUAUAAUCUAUGCAUGCGAAAUAUUGGACACCAUAAAAUUCACCAUUUCAUAUAAUUAGAUAUUUUCAUUGCUUAGAGGUAUAUUUCAAAUUAUUGUAGAAGAUACACAUAAACCAACUUGAUAGUUUAGGAUACAACUUCAAAAUUAAGAUGUUAUAGAAAGAAUAGUUUGCUUUGUCUUUUACCCAAAAGCUCUCCAUCUCGAAAGUAUACUGUUUUAUGUACUACUUUCUUCGUUUCAAUUUAUGUGAACUUGUUUGAUUGGGUACGGAGUUUAAGAAAAAAUAUAGAUUUUUAAAAUUUGUGAUUCUAAACAAUUCAAAAAAAGGCCCAAAAUAUUUGUAUGAAACGGACCAAAAAAAAAAAUAGAUUCAAAUAAAGUGGAACGGAGAUAGUACUUGAGAACUCAUGCACAAAAAGGAAUGGCGACAUUUCAAAAUAUUUCUGGUCACUCGACAUUGUUGUCAACAACUCAACAUAUUCGUUUCUGCAUUUUAACCCUGUAUAGGUGGCAUGUUAACUAAGCAUCCACGUAGAUUACAUAUACACACUUCCACGUGCCAUGCACACGUUUCCAGGGACUAAGAUUAGUCCAUAUUUGGGAAAUUUGCCCUACACCAACAAGCUGCAAUAUUUUAGAACAUGUACUUCCCUUUCAACACUUUAUUCUAUCGUUUUAAUUUUUACGUUAAACUUUAAAGGUUGAAACACUUGCAAGGAGGAAAUUGUAUCAUAUGUGGCGGAGAGACUGCAUUUUGAAAGUGAAUUCAGCAAUGAUGAUGAUUUUUUAUAUAUUUAUAUGUACUUUUUAAUAGAUUUUAAUAAAGGCUAUCCGUUUCAAAGAAGCAUAUUGCGUUCACACGCAAGGUCCAGGGAUGUACCACACCUCAAUAAGGAUGUGAUGUAGUCAACCACCCUGAUACAAUUAUCCGUUGUUGAUUACACAGUUCGCGAAAAUAAUUUUACUGUAGUUCAAAGCUACCUUCUUUUUAAUGGAUUUUGAUUGUUUACUAAAAUACACACCACUAAGCUAGAG